ACAAUUACAAAUGUUCUAAAACCGACCGUUUUACACAUGCAGAGCCGUAUGUGUGGAGAACCAGGGCCGUCCGGAAUAACGCACACUACAAGACUGCAAAACAGUACCCCUCCACAUAAUGAUCAGGACACCGUACGAUCCCAGACGUUUUUGGAAUGUUUAAGCAGUAUCGACCUCCCAGAACAACAAAAACCCGGAGCUUUGUGCAACAGUGGAGAGUCAGAACCGAUCUUCAUCAGCGGCCCUGCAACAACACCGAGAUGCAUGACUCAGCCCUUGCAGAACUCAUAGGCCAGCAACUGAAUUUCUGGGGGAGUGUCUACGCAAUGUCAGGAAAAGUCUUCAUUCUAUCAAAAAGAAGAAUUCAGCACCAAAGGAACCCCAAGAAAAUGUUCAUCUUGCCUGGCCUAGAAGUUAGAUUUGUUUCUGCUUUUUCCAGCAGUCUAAGGUCUGUUGAUGGCUGCUUCAAAGUUGUUGUUUUUUUUUUUUUUUAAUGCAAGUUACCCAAAGUCAUGCACCCAGGUUUGGGAAUUCCUUCACACUGUCAUCUAUCCCAAGAAUAGAUGAAUCUCAGGACAUGAAUCAAAUAUGACGAAACGAGUGAGGGCUCAUUUAGCUAUGAUGGAAGCGUAAAAUGUUGCUCAUAAAGGUGCAUGAAAUUGUUUGAGAAGGAGAUUCCCUCUUGCCACUUUUCUAAGUCUUGCCAAGUGUUGAUGUAUGUUAAGUACUGAAAAAAAUCAUCAAUUCUUCAGUUUUUUAAAGUUAAGAGUUUUUACAUGUAAUUUGUUCUAAAACAGAGCUGACUUUACAUAGCAUUUCUUCAUGUAUAUUAACAUGUACAUGUGCUGUAACCAAAGACUGAUUUGAAGUAAUGGAUAUAAUAUAAUAAAUUAUAUACUUUUUUUGGUACAUUUCUUUACUUGAAUUUUACUUUCAUUGAUAUAUUUUGUAUGAAUUUUGCUGUAUAUGUUCUAUGUAUCAUAUGGCAAUAAAAGUAGUUUUGAGAAAAUCUGUAUUGAAUCUAGUUUUAUAUGCUGAAUUUUAUAGUAAGUAGAAAUCUUAACCCAAAUGCUAAUGGUAAUAUAACCCUUGUGAUAGGUUCAGAGUUUCGACCCAAUUUUUAUUAACGUUAAACAUUGGUCAAUUUAACCCAAUUUUUGGAUAGUUAUCCUAACCCAGUGUGCUGGGUCAAACCAGUAACCAAACCCUGUUAAGUUGAAACAACUCAGCAUUGGCUCGGUCUAUAUUUAACCCAGCAUUGGGUUACAAAUUGGGUUAUUUUUAACCCAGCAAUAUUUAGGGUGUACCAGUCAGAAGUCAGCUGUGUACCAACCUGACUUCUGCACAACACAACUGAUGAUCUCAACUCAAGGAGGCAAGAAAUUUCACAAAUGAAUCCUGAUAAGGCACAUCUAUAAAGUGAAAACCAUUUCAGGUGAAUACAUCAUGAAACUUUUUGAGAGAAGGCCAAGGGUUUGCAGCGAUGUCAAGAAAACAAAGGGUGGCUACUUUCAGGAAUCUAAACUAUAAAACGUGUUAUUUGUCCAUUUUUUCAAUUUUUCAUGGAGUCCUGCAUUUGACUCCACAUCUUGCCUACCACACAGCAAAUCCGUGACAGUGUGUCCAAACUUUUGACUGUGUUGACAUAAAGUGUACUAUAUAUAGCAACUGUCAAAGAAUUUCAUCACCUUGGAUUAAUGUAGCAUGUUAAUUUUGUGUAGCUUUACAACAAAGGCAUUGUUAUUAAGAAAAUAGGGAAAGG